rnacentral:rRNA from 1 species
GAUGAACGCUGGCGGCGUGCCUAAUACAUGCAAGUCGAGCGAAUGGAUUAAGAGCUUGCUCUUAUGAAGUUAGCGGCGGACGGGUGAGUAACACGUGGGUAACCUGCCCAUAAGACUGGGAUAACUCCGGGAAACCGGUGCUAAUACCGGAUAACAUUUUGAACCGCAUGGUUCGAAAUCGAAAGGCGGCUUCGGCUGUCACUUAUGGACGGACCCGCGUCGCAUUAGCGAGUGGGUGAGGGAACGGCUAACCAAGGCAACGAUGCGUAGCCGACCUGAGAGGGUGAUCGGCCACACUGGGACUGAGACACGGCCCAGACUCCUACGGGAGGCAGCAGUAGGGAAUCUUCCGCAAUGGACGAAAGUCUGACGGAGCAACGCCGCGUGAGUGAUGAAGGCUUUCGGGUCGUAAAACUCUGUUGUUAGGGGAGAACAAGUGCUAGUUGAAUAAGCUGGCACCUUGACGGUACCUAACCAGAAAGCCACGGCUAACUACGUGCCAGCCGCCGCAGUAA